rnacentral:rRNA from 1 species
AGAGUUUGAUCCUGGCUCGGAUUGAACGCUGGCGGCAUGCCUUACACAUGCAAGUCGAACGGCAGCACGAGAGCUUGCUCUUGGUGGCGAGUGGCGAACGGGUGAGUAAUAUAUCGGAACGUACCCUAGAGUGGGGGAUAACGUAGCGAAAGUUACGCUAAUACCGCAUACGAUCUACGGAUGAAAGUGGGGGAUCGCAAGACCUCAUGCUCAUGGAGCGGCCGAUAUCUGAUUAGCUAGUUGGUGGGGUAAAAGCUCACCAAGGCGACGAUCAGUAGCUGGUCUGAGAGGACGACCAGCCACACUGGAACUGAGACACGGUCCAGACUCCUACGGGAGGCAGCAGUGGGGAAUUUUGGACAAUGGGCGCAAGCCUGAUCCAGCAAUGCCGCGUGAGUGAAGAAGGCCUUCGGGUUGUAAAGCUCUUUUGUCAGGGAAGAAACGGUGGACUCUAAUACAGAUCACUAAUGACGGUACCUGAAGAAUAAGCACCGGCUAACUACGUGCCAGCAGCCGCGGUAAUACGUAGGGUGCAAGCGUUAAUCGGAAUUACUGGGCGUAAAGCGUGCGCAGGCGGUUGUGCAAGACAGAUGUGAAAUCCCCGGGCUCAACCUGGGAAUUGCAUUUGUGACUGCACGGCUAGAGUGUGUCAGAGGGGGGUAGAAUUCCACGUGUAGCAGUGAAAUGCGUAGAGAUGUGGAGGAAUACCGAUGGCGAAGGCAGCCCCCUGGGAUAACACUGACGCUCAUGCACGAAAGCGUGGGGAGCAAACAGGAUUAGAUACCCUGGUAGUCCACGCCCUAAACGAUGUCUACUAGUUGUCGGGUCUUAAUUGACUUGGUAACGCAGCUAACGCGUGAAGUAGACCGCCUGGGGAGUACGGUCGCAAGAUUAAAACUCAAAGGAAUUGACGGGGACCCGCACAAGCGGUGGAUGGUGUGGAUUAAUUCGAUGCAACGCGAAAAACCUUACCUACCCUUGACAUGUCUGGAAUCCUUGAGAGAUCAGGGAGUGCUCGAAAGAGAAUCAGAACACAGGUGCUGCAUGGCUGUCGUCAGCUCGUGUCGUGAGAUGUUGGGUUAAGUCCCGCAACGAGCGCAACCCUUGUCAUUAGUUGCUACGAAAGGGCACUCUAAUGAGACUGCCGGUGACAAACCGGAGGAAGGUGGGGAUGACGUCAAGUCCUCAUGGCCCUUAUGGGUAGGGCUUCACACGUCAUACAAUGGUACAUACAGAGGGCCGCCAACCCGCGAGGGGGAGCUAAUCCCAGAAAGUGUAUCGUAGUCCGGAUUGUAGUCUGCAACUCGACUACAUGAAGUUGGAAUCGCUAGUAAUCGCGGAUCAGCAUGUCGCGGUGAAUACGUUCCCGGGUCUUGUACACACCGCCCGUCACACCAUGGGAGCGGGUUUCACCAGAAGUGGGUAGCCUGACCGCAAGGAGGGCGCUCACCACGGUGGGAUUCGUGACUGGGGUGAAGUCGUAACAAGGUA